rnacentral:tmRNA from 1 species
GGGGGCGCACCGGUUUCGACGGGGAUGGUUGAGGCCGGAAUUGCAGGUCGAGGUUGGUCGAUGGCCUCGUUAAAAUCGACCACGCACACAAGUGCCAAUGACUACGACUACGCCAUGGCCGCCUAAUAAGCAGUCAAGGCAGGUCUCCAUCUGAGAGACCCGUUUCCCCGGCCGACGCUCGGUAGGCCGAAGGAAGCGCCGACGCUCCGAGCUGGCGGAAUCCGGUUGUUCGUCCCGGAAACCGCGAGAACUCUGACGAACUGGCCCGAGGGCCGCCCGGACAGGGGCAAUCCCGAGGGCGAGAACCUUAAACCUGUCCUAAACCUGUAGACGUUCCGCGCCGAGCGUUCUCGGACGGGGGUUCGACUCCCCCCGCCUCCACCA